rnacentral:rRNA from 1 species
CCUACGGGUGGCUGCAGUGAGGAAUAUUGGUCAAUGGGCGGAAGCCUGAACCAGCCAAGUAGCGUGCAGGAUGACGGCCCUACGGGUUUUAAACUGCUUUUAUACGGGAAUAACGCGCCUUACGUGUAGGGCUUUGCAUGUACCGUAUGAAUAAGGACCGGCUAAUUCCGUGCCAGCAGCCUCGGUAAUACGGAGGGUCCGGGCGUUAUCCGGAUUGAUUGGGUUUAACGGGAGCUGAGGCCGCAUGGCAAGCGUGCUGUGAAAUGUCCGGGCUCACCCCGGGCCUGGCAGCGCGAACUGGCGUGCUUGAGUCCGCGGAAAGCAGGCGGAAUUCGUCGUGUAGCGGUGAAAUGCUUAGAUAUGACGAAGAACACCGAUUGCGAAGGCAGCUUGCUGCAGCGGAACUGACGCUGAUGCUCGAAAGCGCGGGUAUCGAACAGGAUUAGAUACCCGAGUAGUC